CAGUAGCCGCGGUAAAACGUAGGUGGCAAGCGUUGUCCGGAAUUAUUGGGCGUAAAGGGCUCGCAGGCGGUUUCUUAAGUCUGAUGUGAAAGCCCCCGGCUCAACCGGGGAGGGUCAUUGGAAACUGGGAAACUUGAAUGCAGAAGAGGAGAGUGGAAUUCCACGUGUAGCGGUGAAAUGCGUAGAGAUGUGGAGGAACACCAGUGGCGAAGGCGACUCUCUGGUCUGUAACUGACGCUGAGGAGCGAAAGCGUGGGGAGCGAACAGGAUUAGAUACCCCCGUAGUCCCUGUCUCUUAUAC
rnacentral:rRNA from 1 species